UACGUAGGGGGCGAGCGUUGUCCGGAUUUAUUGGGCGUAAAGAGCUCGUAGGCGGUUUGGUAAGUCGGGUGUGAAAUCUCCACGCUCAACGUGGAGGGGCCACUCGAUACUGCCAUGACUCGAGUCCGGUGAGAGGAGUGUGGAAUUCCCGGUGUAGCGGUGAAAUGCGCAGAUAUCGGGAGGAACACCGGUGGCGAAGGCGGCAUCCUGGACCGGCAUUGACGCUGAGGCGCGAAAGCCAGGGGAGCAAAGCGGG
rnacentral:rRNA from 1 species